ACUUCCAAAAUACCUACAUUGCACGAUAAUAUUCCAUAACUAAUACUCUUUCACUUAACUUAGUCAAAAUCCAAUUAAUCAUAUCUUGGAAUACAAAUUACUCCACCAAGAAAACUCUCAAAAUAGCCUAUUCAUACUUUGGCUAUAAACACAGAUAGCAUUCUGAUUUCAGCAUCACAAAAUUCAGAUAAGAUAACACAAAUUUACCACUAACAAAAGUAAACAAAGAUAUUUGUCUUCUUGCCCCAUCUCUCAAACUUUUCGACGAAUCCUAAGAAUCCUAAAAGCUAAGCUCUGAUAUAACUAAUCAUUAUUCCCUAGUAAUCUUAAACCCAAGCUCUGAUACCACUUAAGUUGUCACGCCUCCGGCCCAAAAUCGCGAGGCGAGGGAACGUGCCAACCGCCGCACACCCAUAGGAAACUCUUCCCACGAGCAUGCAAGGCAUCUUAACCAACAUCUCAAUUAUAUAAAUCCAAAAUAAUUCAACUAAAUAAAUGCAAUCUUAUUCCAUUAACUAACUCAAGUCAUAAAGUCUCACAGUUCUAAAUAUAUAACAGAACAAUAAUUUACCAACAUGCAAAACUUAGUUCUUAAAAUAACAAAGCCUUGCAAUGUCCAACAAUCUUAAUGAAUGUCCAAGAUAACAGUUCAACUUAAAUAACCCUAAUCUAAGAUAGCUUGCGCCACAAUCCUUCUAGUCGCUCUUCCAAUUUAGAACCCCAAUAGACUAGUUCUCGAAAUCUGUAAAACAACAAGAAAUUGUAUAAUGAGCUAAACAGCCCAGUAAAUAAUGAACACUCCAGCGAGAUAAAUCGGCAAUAAUAUGUAGAAAAUAAAUAUAUAUGCAAUUCCAAGGUAUAAGUCAAAUAUUUCUUAAAUUUUUAAGAUUCUUUUCAUGAUUUCGAGAUUCUUUCGCAUAUUUAAUUUAUGUUGUCGAUUCUGGACUAUGACCACAUGUUCCCUAUGGCAGAGUCAUCAACACCGACUAAUCUUCUUGCAGUGAAUCCUUCAGGACAGUCAAUUGUCCACGUAUCUGCUCCCAUUGGCGAGGUCCUCAACAUAGCCAGGUCGAAGUUCAAUUAACUCUCUAUUUCAUAUUUCAAUUAUGAAAACAUGCAGUGUCAAACCAAAUAUCAUUCAUAUCUUAAUUUCUUUCAAUUUAUCAUAUUCAACUCAAAAGCCGAAAACUAUGACCACAU
rnacentral:lncRNA from 1 species